rnacentral:rRNA from 1 species
ACAAGCGGUGGAGCAUGUGGUUAAUUCGAAGCAACGCGAAGAACCUUACCAGGUCUUGACAUCCCGAUGCUAUUUCUAGAGAUAGAAAGUUACUUCGGUACAUCGGUGACAGGUGGUGCAUGGUUGACGUCAGCUCGUGUCGUGAGAUGUUGGGUUAAGUCCCGCAACGAGCGCAACCCCUAUUGUUAGUUGCCAUCAUUCAGUUGGGCACUCUAGCGAGACUGCCGGUAAUAAACCGGAGGAAGGUGGGGAUGACGUCAAAUCAUCAUGCCCCUUAUGACCUGGGCUACACACGUGCUACAAUGGUUGGUACAACGAGUUGCGAGUCGGUGACGGCGAGCUAAUCUCUUAAAGCCAAUCUCAGUUCGGAUUGUAGGCUGCAACUCGCCUACAUGAAGUCGGAAUCGCUAGUAAUCGCGGAUCAGCACGCCGCGGUCGAAUACGUUCCCGGGCCUU